rnacentral:misc_RNA from 1 species
GAGAUCUGUUACAACUCCAUCCUAAGAUAUUCAACAAAUUUCAGCAAAGAAUUGGUAUAACAUAAAUUUAACACAAUGAAAAGGUUAUUCUUCAAAGAUAUAAUAGUAGAAAAUUGCAGACUGCUACAAAAUUACAUCCUAUUAGAGUAAGAAAUUACUGCUAAAUGGUGACGCAAGCCAUAAAAUUGAUAAUUAUGUUAGCCAAAGUGAUUACAAUACAAGGACAAAUUAUCAAGAUUUCCAGUUUGAUUCUUACCGUAAUUAUUAACA